rnacentral:rRNA from 1 species
AACGAACGCUGGCGGCAUGCCUAACACAUGCAAGUCGAACGAGACCUUCGGGUCUAGUGGCGCACGGGUGCGUAACGCGUGGGAACCUGCCCUUAGGUUCGGAAUAACUCACCGAAAGGGGUGCUAAUACCGGAUAAUGUCUUCGGACCAAAGAUUUAUCGCCUUUGGAUGGGGCCGCGUUGGAUUAGCUAGUUGGUAGGGUAAAAGCCUACCAAGGCGACGAUCCAUAGCUUGGCUGAGAGGAUGAAUAGCCACACUGGGACAAAGACACGGCCCAGACGCGUACGCGAAGGAAUAGAGGGGAAUGUAAGAAAAUAGACGAACAUUUGAAGCAGCAAUGGCCAGAGAAUGAUAAUGGAAUGUUGAUGAUAAAGCUCUAGGAGUCGGGAAAAUAGGGACAGAAGAGGAUGGAUUAACAGAAGCUAGCUCCAGG